rnacentral:rRNA from 1 species
AACGAACGCUGGCGGCAUGCCUAACACAUGCAAGUCGAACGGGAUCCGGACUUCGGUCCGGUGAGAGUGGCGGACGGGUGAGUAACACGUGGGAACCUGCCUUUUGGUUCGGGAUAACCGCGGGAAACUGCGGCUAAUACCGGAUGCUCCCGAGAGGGAAAAGAUUUAUCGCCAGAAGAGGGGCCCGCGUCCGAUUAGGUAGUUGGUGGGGUAGUGGCCUACCAAGCCGACGAUCGGUAGCUGGUCUGAGAGGAUGAUCAGCCACACUGGGACUGAGAUACGGCCCAGACUCCUACGGAGGCAGCAGUGGGGAAUAUUGGACAAUGGGGGGCAACCCUGAUCCAGCAAUGCCGCGUGAGUGAUGAAGGCCUAGGGUUGUAAAGCUCUUUUGCCAGGGAAGAUGAUGACUGUACCUGGAGAAUAAGCCCCGGCUAACUUCGUGCCAGCAGCCGCGGUAA